CAGCAGCCGCGGUAAAACGUAGGUGGCAAGCGUUGUCCGGAAUUAUUGGGCGUAAAGCGCGCGCAGGUGGUUUAAUAAGUCUGAUGUGAAAGCCCACGGCUCAACCGUGGAGGGUCAUUGGAAACUGUUAAACUUGAGUGCAGGAGAGAAAAGUGGAAUUCCCAGUGUAGCGGUGAAAUGCGUAGAGAUUAGGAGGAACACCAGUGGCGAAGGCGGCUUUUUGGCCUGUGACUGACACUGAGGCGCGAAAGCGUGGGGAGCAAACAGGAUUAGAUACCCCAGUAGUCCCUGUCUCUUAUAC
rnacentral:rRNA from 1 species